rnacentral:tRNA from 1 species
AAGCUCUUUAUGCUUUUCCAGUGAUUUAAGAUGAUACCGGGGAAGGUUUUCCGGUUUAUCCCGGAGGGCUUGUAGCUCAGUUGGUUAGAGCGCGCGCUUGAUAAGCGUGAGGUCGGAGGUUCAAGUCCUCCCAGGCCCACCAAUUUAUGCUCGUUUUUUGCUUAUCCAAGAGUAUGAAGCUUAAGCGUAUUAAAGCCUCUUUUAAUCUUUGUUUAUUUUAAAGAUUUAAUUUUAUCAUUCAAAGAUUGUUUGUUAAAUUUAUUCUAUUAAGUUUGUCAAAGGGGGAGUUUGUCAAAGGAGGUUUUUAAAUCCCUUCAUUUUGAAAUUCCUUCAAGGUAUAGAGAAAUUUAAAUGAUGUAUAGAGAAAUUUAAAUGAUGCAAAUCAAAAUAGUACAAAUCAAAGUCGUAUAAAUGAUUCAAGUUGAUAAAUUUUCUUGAGGUUGAUUUGAGAGAGCAUUCUUUAGGGGCCGUAGCUCAGCUGGGAGAGCACCUGCUUUGCAAGCAGGGGGU